rnacentral:lncRNA from 1 species
GGGAUUAUAAAAUGUGAUUAGUACAAAGAUGAAAACAUAAAACUAGAUUCUGGGAGCUGAGAGAGAGAGAAGCACUUGGAAAGAAUGGAUUCUGGCAGUUGGGGGCCCCUAUUUGACUCCACUUCUGUUCUGCACACCCCCUGACCCUCAUUCAUGUGGGUGGAAUUGCAGAGCAGACUUUAAAUCCAAAACAGCACUCUCCUGAUCACAAGCAGGAUAUUCAAGAA